rnacentral:rRNA from 1 species
UACGGAGGGGGCUAGCGUUGUUCGGAAUUACUGGGCGUAAAGCGCACGUAGGCGGCUUUGUAAGUUAGAGGUGAAAGCCCAGGGCUUAACCCUGGAAUUGCCUUUAAGACUGCAUCGCUAGAAUCGUGGAGAGGUGAGUGGAAUUCCGAGUGUAGAGGUGAAAUUCGUAGAUAUUCGGAAGAACACCAGUGGCGAAGGCGACUCACUGGACACGUAUUGACGCUGAGGUGGCGAAAGCGUGGGGAGCAAACAGG